AUGAGCCCUGCCCCUGGGGCACCUAGGAGGGUGAGGGGCUGUGGGUUGGGAGUGAGGGGCACUGGCAGUGUUAGGGAGCUGUGGGUGGGGAGUGAGGGGCCCCCCGCAAAGGGCUGUGAGGUGGGAUCAAGGGGCCAUGCUGAGGAAAUGGGGUCAUGAAUGGAGUCAUGCUAAGGAAAGUUUGGGAAACACUGGCCUAAACCAUGCUAGCCUGAUAUCUAGGGUCAGGCAGACCAUGACUGGCUUAAGAGCUGGACUGUACUGACAGUCUUAAUGAGGGAGGAAGGAAAAACCAACUACUGCCAUAUUUUCUAGUAUCUACUUCUUUAUUCUCAAAUCCUUCCUUUCUUCAAUUUUGGAAAUAGCAGAGUCUCUUAUAUGUCUUUUUAGAAGUCCAUAAGCCUGCCUUCAUUAUCAUAAUUACAAAAAUAUUGUAAAGUAAUCCAAAGAGAUGUGAUAGAUAUUCUGAUGUAGUAUCAUUACUGAAAAUCCAGUCAUUGUUUCUGUAGCAAGCCCAAAUUUUGUUCACUAAAUAUGCAAGAGACAAGGAUUUUUGCAGGAGGGAUCUUUUAUUGCAACAACUGUAACAUCACAAUAAUAAACCAAACUUUGCUUCCCCAUGACUAUUUUGUGUAAUUGGGUUACAAUAAAAAUGAAGUAAUGAUAGUUUAAAAAAAAAAGAGAUUGCUGAUGCAAGUAGCCCUUUCAGGCAUAGGAUAUGCGCAGCCUCUCUGACAUUAUUUAGAUAUGCUGCCUUCGAGAGUUACCUGAACUGUACAGUUCCCUGCAGCAAUACAUCAACUGAAUUACUUUACAAGGAAAGAGGUAGAUUCCCUUGAGUUGAUGUGACAAUAGCUUAGUAGCUCCAGAUUGUCUUACAUCAAGUGGAGCAGCCUUUCUAAUAUGCCUUUUAGAGUAUAAGGAGGAAAAAGUAAGAUCCCAACUGAAAUUUUAAAUUUCUGCAAUGAUGACAGUGCUAAUUAUUAAUAGGCAUAAAUCAGAUGUAGCCAGAGUUCAGGCAACAGGACACAUGAGGCUCGUUGCAUUCCACAAAAUGUCUUGCAAGCACAUUUUGUCUUUAAUGUUGCUGUGUUACCUGUUCAGAUUAGAAAUCCCAGCAUGGUGUAAUCCUGCAUAGAAAUGGAGGAUUGGGAUUUGUAGUCUCCCUUCUGCAAUAAAGAUGAUGAUAGAUGCAAUCUACUUCUUUGUCUAUGGCCCAUAACACUUAUGCAUUUUAUACCAACAUUGAACAAGUUCCCCAUUGGGCAUGACCUUGACAAGGAAGCAUGGGUCAAGAUGAACAGACUGAGAUAUGGACGCUUCAAAACAACAUUGUACAAGAUGAACAUCUUCACAGCCCCCUGCAUGAAUGUGAUAUUCAGCAAACAGCACAACACUUAAUUCAAAGCUGCAAUCUUUACAAAUGCCCAGAUGGGGUAGAUGGAAUGAAUCCACACAUGGAGUGAUAAUAUCAGACAGUGGCUCAUAGCUGGCCGGAAAGAACAAGGUGGGGGUGGGGUUUGGAAACAUGGGCUUCACCACCUUGGGUCAUUGAGAGCUUAGGCAAAGGCCAGCCUGGCACUUGGGCAGAGGAGAUGAGCUCUGGCUUAGGUUAGACUGCCGCCCUGUGAGUGGGGGGUGAGUGGGGUACUGCAAUGUUCCAUGGGAUAUCAGAGGAAUGUGACCUCCCAUGAGUUGCAAUGGAACAGAUGUGGUACAGAUGUUUGUUACGGCACUCUAACCUACAAUGCUGAAAUAGGAUACCAUAUCCAUCCAGGGUUAUCCCAGAGUGGAAUCUGCCAUUUUUACAGUGCUCUGUGUGCCCUGCCUGUUUGGUUAUGGCUGUGGAGUGCUUUCUGUGUGUUUACCAUGCAAUAAGUGUAACUUCUGCACCUGGCAUAUCAUUUGAUAGAGAUUUACUUUCUGGACUAAGAACAAUUCAUUCUUGUAUGUUUACUAUAGACAGGUGAUGAUGAAAUGGAACACGGUCCAAUCGUAUCAUGAAGGCUGUGUAAUGAUAAAAUGCCUUUUUCAUUACAAAUGAAAUAAUAAUUCCUGCACUACUGCCAAACAUACUUUGAAAUAAAUUUAGUUCUGUUUAUUGUGA